CGGUGGAGCGGCGGAGUGGCCAGGUGCAGGACGGGCAUGGUCAGCCCCGGCGCCUGAUGCCCGCCGGCGUCCUGGAGGUCGCGGCCAAGGCCGUGGUGCUGCUGUUGCUCGCGCUGCUGGGCACUGCCACCAGCGCCGUCACCACCGUCACCACGAGCACGGCCAGCUCCGCUGCGGCCAACGCCAACCUCGGCUCCAUCAACCUCCAGGGCGCCAGGAAGCCCGGCGACCAGCUGUUGUUCGAGUACAGGGUGACGAGGCGCGCCAAGCCCUUCAAGGUCAUCACCGAGGCCGUGGUGUACCCCAUGACGACGGGGCAGAAGCCGGGGGUCAUCACGCUGAUCGAGGUCCGCAGCCCCAAGCGGCGGCACGACGAGGUGCACAUCAAGAGCGGCGGCGUGGGCGAGCGCUCCGCCACCAUCCUCUUGAAGUCGGCGCGGGGCCGCGGCCUGGACGUCGUCGUCAACAUCUUCGGCAUCCCGGCCAACGCCAAGCCGACCUCUGCCUCGCCCGAGGCUGGCGAUGCCGGGGACGCCACCGCGGACGGAGACGCCGCCGCGAGUGCCAGCCAGACCAGCACCAGCGGCGACGAGGGCGCGACCACGACGGCCGCCGCGGACGCAGAGCGCUGAGACGACCGCGUCAAAUCUCUCCAGAAAAUCGACUGGAGUCCCACAUCCCAGUCGGCGGCAUCGUCCGGGCGGAGGCCGUGGAGGCCGUGGAGGCACUCCCAGGACCUCUCCGGCGGGACGACCCGGGCGUACGCGGCGCCCUCCACGCUGCCAACAACAAGUCGAGCAAGAAGUGCACAAAGUGUCCAGUGUGGUUCGGCCAACCUGUCCGCCGCGACAGCGUUCCUUCCUUUCCCUUCGCGCUGCCGAGGCUGCCGAGGGAGAGAGAGGGAGAGGGCCGGUCCAUUGUCUCGAGUCACCAUAUGGCGGCCCGGCCACCCUCUGGAGGGGGAGGGAGGGGGGCACCGCGACACGCCUCCAGCGGACAAAAAGCGCGACAAAUAGACUGUAAUAACACACCUCGGCCGCGGUCCUCGCGGAUUCCGGGCCACUCGAUCGACCCCCUGCGGCGAGGCUAGC